rnacentral:rRNA from 1 species
AUUGAACGCUGGCGGCAGGCCUAACACAUGCAAGUCGAACGAGUGGCGGACGGGUGAGUAAUGUCGGGGAAACGGCCUGAAGGAGGGGGAUAACUUCGGGAAACGGUAGCUAAUACCGCAUACCAACAGAAGUGCCCAGAGGGGAUUAGCUUGUGGGUGGGGUAACGGCGCACCUAGGCGACGAUCCCUAGGUGGUCUGAGAGGAUGACCAGCCACACUGGAACUGGUACACGGUCCAGACUCCUACGGGAGGCAGCAGUGGGGAAUAUUGCACAAUGGGCGCAAUCCUGAUACAGCCAUGCCGCGUGUAUGAAGAAGGCCUUCGGGUUGUAAAGUACUUUCAGCGGGGAGGCGUUACCCGCAGAAGAAGCACCGGCUAACUCCGUGCCAGCAGACGCGGUAAUUC